rnacentral:lncRNA from 10 species
CUGCCCCUGAGCCCCGGGGCCACGGGAAGAACUUGCAGCGACGUCAUCCCUGCCCCGGACACAGUCCCGGGCCCAGGGAGGACCUGGAACAUUCCCUUCCUCCCCCCCCCCCCCCCCGCCCCCGCCCAUCAGCCCAGCCUGCAAGGAGGCGCCACCGGACCUGCACACUCAGGAGCAGACUCAGCUAGAUUGGAAGAGAGGAUGGGAAGACAAUGGAUGACCUACCUGUGGAGAGAAACUACCCAUUCCAGAACCUCCUCUCUGCUGAAAGCUGAACACUCAAUGGGAAGACCUGUUUGCAGAGAGGAGCCAGCCACUCCAGGGUCUCCGUUCUGCUAGAAGCUGAACACUCGUUGGGACACCCUUGCUGUGGAAAGGACAUCCUUACUGUGGAAAUGAGCUACUAACUGCAGGUCUCCUUCCUCUUCAUCUUCCUUAUCCUUCUGUUCCAUUGCUCAGUAAUGCUCCUCUUCAUCUGUCUCAUUCUCCACUUGUCUGCUUGAUGCAGGAGCUGAGGAGCUGCACAGCAAGGUUAAAAGAGCUGUAACACAAACAGGGCUGCAACAUGCCCCUUGCUCCCCACAGGGAGAGAAGAGCUCUGGCCCUCGGAGAAGCCCAGACCUGGGAGCUCCUUGAGCCCGGGCUGUGACUCCCUCUUUGGGGCCCUGGUUGGCGUCACUGCAUUCGCCAGUGCCACUGUUGGAAGCUGCUUGUGAUGCGCCUGGUCCAGGGGGAAGCUGUUUGUUGUGUGCCUGGUCCAGCCACCUCAUGGAGAGCCUGUGCUGGCACCUGGAGCUGCCCAACCUGGGCAGCAGCUUGUGUGUGUGACUGCACAGUGGCCACGCUUGCUCACACACCCCUAGCACACCCCUCUGCUCCACCCGUCUCAAUCUCCCUUGGAUCCGGGAUCCAGUGAGAACUGAUUUCUGCAUCAGAAUAUCUCCUUGACUUUACAGCUAUCCUUUAAUCCUGGCUCAAAGUUCCAGAAGAAAGAUGAUCCAAUAUAAUACUCCUAUUUGGACUUUGAGUCAUACACAUUCCUUCUUCUGAGAAAACGUGCUUCUGCAUGAAUCCUCCCUUCAUUAUUUUCAGCUCAUCUAUUAUUGAAUCUGAAACCCCAGGUUAACUGACUGAUCACUCUCAUCAGUGGCAGAUUUUGGUGUAACAUAGGACACAUCACUCCCAAUUCAGGUCAAGUCCCAAUUAUCUUGCCUCUCAAUAUGACAUGUUCAAUGUUGUAUUUCAUUCUACUUCAUUUUAAUGUAAAAAGUCUUUUCUGGUGAAGUCAGUCUUUUAUUUUCUCAUAAAAAUUCACCCUUUGGGUUUUUCAUAGGGUAUUCCCAUAACCAAACACACUUUACACUUUCCUAGUACAUAACCCAAUACUUUCUUCUUUCCCCACAGUCCUUACAUGAAGCCUACUCAGACCGACAUCACUGUAUCAUUUUUUUGUAUUCUGAAGUCCUUCAGCACUUGAUUCCUUUAAGUUUAAUCUUGGUAUUCUAUUGGGAAUCAUAUGGAAAUGUACAAUGAUAUUUAUUGAAUGAACAGGAAACAGGGAAAGACAUUGACCAGAAAAAGUGUUUAUUC